rnacentral:misc_RNA from 1 species
AGGUAAUUGACAAAAUCUACAAACCAUGGCAAUGCAUCAACAACUAGUAAUAACUUAUUUGAGAAGAACUCGUUAAUUUGCAAUUCCUCUUCAUUUCCAUCUUUACUCUCAUGCUUAAUCCUUGAUAGAUGAUCUGCUACAACAUUUUCAGCUCCCUUUUUAUCUUUAAUUUGUAAAUCAAACUCCUGUAGUAAUAGAACCCAUCUUAUCUGUCUUGGCUUUGCUUAUUUUUUAUUUAUCAAAUAUCUUAUGGCAGCAUGGUCUGUAUAGACAAUCACUUUUGAUCCAACCAGAUAUGACCUAAACUUUUCCACAGUAAAUACUACAGCUGAAAAUUUCUUCUCAGUGGUGGCAUAAUUUACUUGAGCAUCAUCUAAAGUUUUGCUGGCAUAAUAAAUUGCAUAAGGCCUCUUCUCUUUUUUCUGACCAAGUACAGCUACCACAGCAAAGUCACUAGCAUCACACAUAACCUCAAAUGGCAAUGACCAAUCCGGAGGUUGUAUAAUAGGUACUGUUGUUAGAGCUUCCUUUAA